GAUGAACGCUGGCGGCGUGCCUAAUACAUGCAAGUCGAGCGAAUGGAUUAAGAGCUUGCUCUUAUGAAGUUAGCGGCGGACGGGUGAGUAACACGUGGGUGACCUGCCCAUAAGACUGGGAUAACUCCGGGAAACCGGGGCUAAUACCGGAUAACAUUUUGAACCGCAUGGUUCGAAAUCGAAAGGCGGCUUCGGCUGUCACUUAUGGAUGGACCCGCGUCGCAUUAGCUAGUUGGUGAGGUAACGGCUCACCAAGGCAACGAUGCGUCGCCGUCCUGAGAGGGGGAACGGCCACACAGGGACUGAGACACGGCCCAGAGUCCUACGGGAGGCAGCAGUAGGGAAUCUUCCGAAAUGGACGAAAGUCUGACGGAGCAACGCCGCGUGAGUGAUGAAGGCUUUCGGGUCGUAAAACUCUGUUGUUAGGGAAGAACAAGUGCUAGUUGAAUAAGCUGGCACCUUGACGGUACCUAACCAGAAAGCCACGGCUAACUACGUGCCAGCCGCCGCCGUAA
rnacentral:rRNA from 1 species